GACGAACGCUGGCGGCGUGCUUAACACAUGCAAGUCGAGCGGUAAGGCCCUUCGGGGUACACGAGCGGCGAACGGGUGAGUAACACGUGGGUGAUCUGCCUCGCACUCUGGGAUAAGCCUGGGAAACUGGGUCUAAUACCGGAUAUGACCAUUCAUCGCAUGGUGUUUGGUGGAAAGAUUUAUCGGUGCGAGAUGGGCCCGCGGCCUAUCAGCUUGUUGGUGGGGUAAUGGCCUACCAAGGCGACGACGGGUAGCCGGCCUGAGAGGGCGACCGGCCACACUGGGACUGAGACACGGCCCAGACUCCUACGGGAGGCAGCAGUGGGGAAUAUUGCACAAUGGGCGAAAGCCUGAUGCAGCGACGCCGCGUGAGGGAUGACGGCCUUCGGGUUGUAAACCUCUUUCGACAGGGACGAAGCGCAAGUGACGGUACCUGUAGAAGAAGCACCGGCCAACUACGUG
rnacentral:rRNA from 1 species